CCUGGUCCUCCGUGAGCACCACGGCAUCUCCAAGGGGCCCCACCGCCCGCUCCCAGCUGGCGGUCAGGGUGCAGGGCACAGGGAGCACCUGCGGCUGCAUUGCAGCAGCGGCCGGUGGGGGCACAAAAGGUCCAAAUAAAGUUGCGUCGGGUGUCGGAAGCACCGUCGGCAUCAAUGAAGAGAUUCUCUCUGUGGGGAAAUGCCCAAAUGGGCGCUGGGUGAGAUGUGGGGCACUGGGACCACCUGGAGAGCCGCAGUGCCAGGAGCAGGAAGAGCCUGCUGCCUUACCUGCCAUGGCAGCUCGAGAGUGGCGCUGGGGGGUUCCGUGAGCGCUGGGGUCAGCCCCUCUGCCCUGAGCUCACAAGGACUCUCUGUGACGCUGUCACAGGCAUUGCUCUGUGCCUGCCCCAUCACCAACACUCGCUGUGGCUGCUCAGUGUGGCCUUCUGUUUCAAGGGAGACGAUAAACAGGAGGGAAAUAAAAUGGUUACACGUUGAGACGAUUAACAGGAAGGAAAUAAAAUGGUUACACGUUGAGACGGUGAUGGGACAAAGGGGAAUGGUUUUAACAUAAAGGAGGGGAGAUUUGGAUUAGAUGUCGGGGAAGCUGUUCACAGAGGGAACUGAGGCCCUGGCACUGCUGCCCAGAGAGGCCGUGGGUGCCCCAGCCCUGCAGGUGCACUCGAUUCAGCUCCCCUUGCAGUGAUUGAAGACGAACAGAGGAAUGUGGCUGAUGACCCUCAAACUCCCGGCGGCAUCGCAGGGCUGCGGUGCUUUGAGGCUGGAAAGCCACCAAACAUCCACCUGCUCGCUGUGUCCCUUCACACAUCCGCCUGUCACAGAAGCACAGGGGCUGGAAGGGACCUCUGCAGAUGACCGCAGCACAACCUCCCCCCACAGCAGCUCUGCUGCAGCGGUUGCACGGGAGAGUCUGCCUUGCGCUGGGGAGCCCAGAACUGACCCAGUGCUCCGCACGAGCCCAGUGCUUUCUGCGGCCCUCAAUAGCCUCCCAGGGCCACCAGUCCUGCCCAGUGCCGCCAGGUCAACACACCCAGUGCUCAGUACGUGGCCAUCUCCUUCCCCAGGCACAAAACGAGGCGAUAGGGG
ensembl:lncRNA